rnacentral:rRNA from 1 species
CAGUCGCCGCGGUAAUACGGAGGGGGCUAGCGCUGUUCGGAAUUACUGGGCGUAAAGCGUACGUAGGCGGCUUUGUAAGUUAGAGGUGAAAGCCCGGGGCUCAACCCCGGAAUUGCCUUUAAGACUGCAUCGCUUGAAUCGCGGAGAGGUGAGUGGAAUUCCGAGUGUAGAGGUGAAACUCGUAGAUAUUCGCAAGAACACCAGUGGCGAAGGCGGCUCACUGGCCCGAUACUGACGCUGAGGUGCGAAAGCGUGGGGAGCAAACAGGAUUAGAUACCCGGGUAGUCCCUGUCUCUUAUAA